rnacentral:rRNA from 1 species
GGAGACAGGUGCUGCAUGGCUGUCGUCAGCUCGUGUCGUGAGAUGUUGGGUUAAGUCCCGCAACGAGCGCAACCCUCGCCCUUAGUUGCCAGCAUUUAGUUGGGCACUCUAGGGGGACUGCCGGUGAUAAGCCGAGAGGAAGGUGGGGAUGACGUCAAGUCCUCAUGGCCCUUACGGGCUGGGCUACACACGUGCUACAAUGGUGGUGACAGUGGGCAGCGAGACCGCGAGGUCGAGCUAAUCUCCAAAAGCCAUCUCAGUUCGGAUUGCACUCUGCAACUCGAGUGCAUGAAGUUGGAAUCGCUAGUAAUCGUGGAUCAGCAUGCCACGGUGAAUACGUUCCCGGGCCUUGUACACACCGCCCGUCACACCAUGGGAGUUGGUUUUACCCGAAGG